rnacentral:sRNA from 1 species
CUGCUCCAUCUAGCUCUUUCCAGUGCAGCCACUGCCGCCGCCCAGGAGCCCUCGUCCCCUGCCUCGUUCCCCUCCUCGUUCCCGCUCCCACGGCAUGGAGCAGGACACCGCCGCAGUGGCAGCCACCGUGGCAGCCGCGGAUGCGACCGCCACUAUCGUGGUCAUAGAGGACGAGCAGCCGGGGCCGUCCACCUCUCAGGAGGAGGGAGCGGCCGCCGCGGCCACCGAAGCCACCGCGGCCACGGAGAAGGGCGAGAAGAAGAAGGAGAAAAACGUUUCUUCAUUUCAACUCAAACUUGCUGCUAAAGCGCCUAAAUCUGAAAAGGAAAUGGACCCAGAAUAUGAAGAGAAAAUGAAAGCCGACCGAGCAAAGAGAUUUGAAUUUUUACUGAAGCAGACAGAACUUUUUGCACAUUUCAUUCAGCCUUCAGCACAGAAAUCUCCAACAUCUCCACUGAACAUGAAAUUGGGACGUCCCCGAAUAAAGAAAGAUGAAAAGCAGAGCUUAAUUUCUGCUGGAGACUACCGCCAUAGGCGCACAGAGCAAGAAGAAGAUGAAGAGCUACUGUCCGAGAGUCGGAAAACAUCUAAUGUGUGUAUUAGAUUUGAGGUGUCACCUUCAUAUGUGAAAGGGGGGCCACUGAGAGAUUAUCAGAUUCGAGGACUGAAUUGGUUGAUCUCUUUAUAUGAAAAUGGAGUCAAUGGCAUUUUGGCUGAUGAAAUGGGCCUUGGGAAAACUUUACAAACAAUUGCUUUGCUUGGUUACCUGAAACACUACCGAAAUAUUCCUGGACCUCACAUGGUUUUAGUUCCAAAGUCUACUUUACACAACUGGAUGAAUGAAUUUAAACGAUGGGUCCCAUCUCUCCGUGUCAUUUGUUUUGUCGGAGACAAGGAUGCCAGAGCUGCUUUUAUUCGUGAUGAAAUGAUGCCAGGAGAGUGGGAUGUUUGCGUUACUUCUUAUGAGAUGGUAAUUAAAGAAAAAUCUGUAUUCAAAAAGUUUCACUGGCGAUACCUAGUCAUUGAUGAAGCUCACAGAAUAAAGAAUGAAAAAUCUAAGCUUUCAGAGAUUGUUCGUGAGUUCAAGUCGACUAACCGCUUGCUCCUAACUGGAACACCUUUGCAGAAUAACCUGCAUGAACUGUGGGCCUUACUCAACUUUCUAUUGCCUGAUGUCUUUAAUUCUGCAGAUGACUUUGAUUCUUGGUUUGACACUAAAAAUUGUCUUGGUGAUCAAAAACUCGUGGAAAGACUUCAUGCAGUUUUAAAACCAUUUUUGUUACGCCGUAUAAAAACUGAUGUAGAGAAGAGUCUGCCACCUAAAAAGGAAAUAAAGAUUUACUUGGGGCUGAGUAAGAUGCAACGAGAAUGGUAUACAAAAAUCCUGAUGAAAGAUAUUGAUGUUUUAAACUCUUCUGGCAAGAUGGACAAGAUGCGACUCUUAAACAUUCUGAUGCAGCUUCGAAAGUGUUGUAAUCAUCCAUAUCUGUUUGAUGGUGCUGAACCUGGUCCACCUUAUACCACUGAUGAGCAUAUUGUCAGCAACAGCGGUAAAAUGGUAGUUCUGGAUAAACUAUUGGCCAAACUCAAAGAACAGGGUUCAAGGGUUCUCAUUUUCAGCCAGAUGACUCGCUUGUUGGAUAUUUUGGAAGAUUAUUGCAUGUGGCGUGGUUAUGAGUAUUGUCGACUGGAUGGACAAACCCCGCAUGAAGAAAGAGAGGAAGCAAUAGAGGCUUUUAAUGCUCCCAAUAGUAGCAAAUUCAUCUUUAUGCUAAGUACCAGGGCUGGAGGUCUCGGAAUUAACCUGGCAAGUGCUGAUGUGGUUAUACUAUAUGAUUCAGACUGGAACCCACAGGUUGAUCUACAAGCUAUGGAUCGAGCACAUCGUAUUGGUCAGAAGAAACCAGUACGUGUAUUCCGUCUCAUCACUGACAACACUGUUGAAGAGAGGAUUGUAGAAAGAGCUGAGAUAAAACUGAGACUCGAUUCAAUUGUUAUACAACAAGGAAGACUCAUUGACCAACAGUCUAACAAGCUGGCAAAAGAGGAAAUGUUACAAAUGAUACGGCAUGGAGCCACCCAUGUUUUUGCUUCUAAAGAGAGUGAGUUGACAGAUGAAGACAUUACAACUAUUCUGGAAAGAGGGGAAAAGAAGACUGCAGAGAUGAAUGAACGCCUGCAAAAAAUGGGAGAGUCUUCUCUAAGAAAUUUUAGAAUGGACAUUGAACAAAGUUUAUACAAGUUUGAAGGAGAAGAUUAUAGAGAAAAACAGAAGCUUGGCAUGGUGGAAUGGAUUGAACCUCCUAAACGAGAACGCAAAGCAAACUACGCAGUGGAUGCCUACUUUAGAGAGGCUUUGCGUGUCAGCGAGCCAAAGAUUCCAAAGGUAAAACUGUACAAGGCCAGUUUUUGUGUCCUAAAGUAGAUUUCUCUUGCAACAUGAUCUAUGGGUCAGAUUUACUUGUAUCAUUGCCAAAUCAUAGUCUCUAAAAUAUAACAGUACAAAAAAGUAUUUGAUUUGGCCCAGCCAUAUAAAUGGAUUUUAUUGUAUUUAUUGUUCCAUAUAUAACAGAAAUAGUAAAAGAUAAGUAAGUUUACUUCAUGUACUGAAAAGAAGUAUAUAUAAUACAUUUUCCUCUCAUAGGCUCCACGGCCUCCAAAACAGCCAAAUGUUCAGGAUUUUCAAUUUUUCCCACCACGCUUAUUUGAGCUCCUGGAAAAGGAAAUUCUUUAUUAUCGGAAGACAAUAGGCUAUAAGGUCCCAAGGAAUCCUGAUAUCCCAAAUCCAGCUCUGGCUCAAAGAGAAGAGCAAAAAAAGAUUGAUGGAGCUGAACCUCUUACACCAGAAGAGACUGAAGAGAAGGAAAAACUUCUCACACAAGGUUUCACAAACUGGACUAAACGAGAUUUUAACCAGUUUAUUAAAGCUAAUGAGAAAUAUGGAAGAGAUGACAUUGAUAACAUAGCUCGAGAGGUAGAGGGCAAAUCCCCUGAGGAGGUCAUGGAGUAUUCAGCUGUAUUUUGGGAACGUUGCAAUGAAUUACAGGACAUUGAGAAAAUUAUGGCUCAAAUUGAACGUGGAGAAGCAAGAAUUCAACGAAGGAUCAGUAUCAAGAAAGCCCUGGAUGCCAAAAUUGCAAGAUACAAGGCUCCAUUUCAUCAGUUGCGCAUUCAGUAUGGAACCAGCAAAGGAAAGAACUAUACUGAGGAAGAAGAUAGAUUCUUGAUUUGUAUGUUACACAAAAUGGGCUUUGAUAGAGAAAAUGUAUAUGAAGAAUUAAGACAGUGUGUACGAAAUGCUCCCCAGUUUAGAUUUGACUGGUUUAUCAAGUCUAGGACUGCCAUGGAAUUCCAGAGACGCUGUAACACUCUGAUUUCAUUGAUUGAGAAAGAAAAUAUGGAAAUUGAGGAAAGAGAGAGAGCAGAAAAGAAGAAACGGGCAACUAAAACUCCAAUGGUAAAAUUUUCAGCAUUUUCCUAACUUUUAGAUUUAACAUUGUUGGGCCAUUUAAAAUGUGCAUAUUGGAGCAGAACAUUAAAUCUGUUUCCAUUUUAGUCACAGAAAAGAAAAGCAGAGUCAGCUACUGAGAGCUCUGGAAAGAAGGAUGUCAAGAAGGUGAAAUCCUAAAGCCUAGAAAUAAAGUUUUAAAUGGGAAACUGCUAUUUUCUUGUUCCCAUCUUCAAAUGCUAAUUGCCAGUUCCAGUGUAUUCAUGGUACUCUAAGAAAAAUCUCUUUGGUUUUGAUUUCUUGCAUAUUUUAUAUAUUUUACAAUGCUUUCUACCUGAAAUGUGUAGCUUUAUAUUUUAUGGCAUUCUAGUAUUUUUGUGUACUGUAUUUUGUGCAUUUCAUGUCUUCAUCAAAAUCCUCUCAGUCCUUGUUCUUUUGAAGCUUGUGCUGAGGUUUUAGCUUUUCUAUGUUUUAUAUGCCGCUGCUUUGAAAGAGAACCUAGAUUCUAUAGUUGUAUUAUUGUUGUUUCAUACUUUAAAUUUAUAUGGCUGUGGAAAAACGAAUUAAAAUGUUUUGAGGAGAAAGACUUUUUCACUUCUUUGUUGCUUUCUUUUCUAUUGAGUCUGGGCUUGUUUGUGUUACUGCAUACUGUGAUUAGCAUAAUAAUUGUUUCUUUGAGGUCAUCUAAAUAUUUUUUUCCUAAAGGAAUAAAGGGUGAGGAAAGAAAAAUAUUAAAAAAGCUAAUAUUUGAUACUGUGCUUGCUGUCAGUAUGCAUUACAUUUAAAUUAUUCUCUAAAUAUUCAAGUGGGAAAAUAUAAUAAAGAAAUGUCUAUAAGAAAUUUAA